GUGAGCGCGGCCGCUCUGGCUGGCGUUGGGGGCGGGGCUGUAAGGGAAAGUGCCAAAGCCGCUGAGAUAAGACAAUAGAGGAACAGAAAGUUAAGUGAUUUGUCCAGAGUCAUGCAGCAAGUCUGAAGUAAGAAUUCUGCUAGCAAGGAAAUGGCUGCCUCUUCAUCAUCCUCCUCAGCUGGUGGGGUCAGUGGAAGUUCUGUCACUGGAUCUGGUUUCAGUGUCUCAGACCUUGCCCCACCACGGAAAGCCCUUUUUACCUACCCCGAAGGAGCUGGAGAGAUGUUAGAAGAUGGCUCUGAGAGAUUCCUCUGCGAAUCUGUGUUCAGCUAUCAAGUGGCAUCCACGCUUAAACAGGUGAAACAUGAUCAGCAAGUUGCUCGGAUGGAAAAACUAGCUGGUUUGGUAGAUGAGCUGGAGUACGACAAGUGGCGGUUUAAGCCCAUCGAGCAGCUGCUGGGGUUCACACCCUCUUCAGGUUGAUGUCUGGAUGGUCACCUCUAGUGGCAAGUGCAGAGCCAGCGAGGGACCUUCUCACAGCUUACAUAGCCAUCCAGAGAUUUCACAGCUACAUCACUGAAUUGUUAAUUCACAUUUGUACUUGGUUUCUCUCUAUCUAUCCACAAGCAACCAAUACUUAAACAUGUUAUC